UACGUAGGGUGCGAGCGUUAAUCGGAAUUACUGGGCGUAAAGCGUGCGCAGGCGGUUUUGUAAGCCAGAUGUGAAAUCCCCGGGCUUAACCUGGGAACUGCAUUUGUGACUGCAUCGCUGGAGUGCGGCAGAGGGGGAUGGAAUUCCGCGUGUAGCAGUGAAAUGCGUAGAUAUGCGGAGGAACACCGAUGGCGAAGGCAAUCCCCUGGACCUGUACUGACGCUCAUGCACGAAAGCGUGGGGAGCAAACAGG
rnacentral:rRNA from 1 species